rnacentral:misc_RNA from 1 species
GUGAAUCAUCGAAUUUUUGAACGCAAAUUGCACUCUCUUCGGAGAGUAUGCCUGUUUGAGUGUCAGCCUAAAAAAAAUCGACGUACUCGCUGUUUCGCUGUGACUUUCUUCGGAUAUUGGUCCAUCUUAAACAUUUGGGUUUUAAGCGGCUUAAAAUUUUCUUUACGAUUCCACGAACGUUUCUAAGAUUUACUUACACGUUUAAGGUAGCGAUCUUUAUUAUACGUGGCUGUUCUAUCGUAUCGCUGCCAUAAAUAUUGCGUUAACGCA